rnacentral:rRNA from 1 species
GAAUGCUGACAUAAGUAACGAUAAAGCGGGUGAAAAGCCCGCUCGCCGGAAGACCAAGGGUUCCUGUCCAACGUUAAUCGGGGCAGGGUGAGUCGACCCCUAAGGCGAGGCCGAAAGGCGUAGUCGAUGGGAAACAGGUUAAUAUUCCUGUACUUGGUGUUACUGCGAAGGGGGGACGGAGAAGGCUAUGUUGGCCGGGCGACGGUUGUCCCGGUUUAAGCGUGUAGGCUGGUUUUCCAGGCAAAUCCGGAAAAUCAAGGCUGAGGCGUGAUGACGAGGCACUACGGUGCUGAAGCAACAAAUGCCCUGCUUCCAGGAAAAGCCUCUAAGCAUCAGGUAACAUCAAAUCGUACCCCAAACCGACACAGGUGGUCAGGUAGAGAAUACCAAGGCGCUUGAGAGAACUCGGGUGAAGGAACUAGGCAAAAUGGUGCCGUAACUUCGGGAGAAGGCACGCUGAUAUGUAGGUGAAGCGACUUGCUCGUGGAGCUGAAAUCAGUCGAAGAUACCAGCUGGCUGCAACUGUUUAUUAAAAACACAGCACUGUGCAAACACGAAAGUGGACGUAUACGGUGUGACGCCUGCCCGGUGCCGGAAGGUUAAUUGAUGGGGUUAGCGGUAACGCGAAGCUCUUGAUCGAAGCCCCGGUAAACGGCGGCCGUAACUAUAACGGUCCUAAGGUAGCGAAAUUCCUUGUCGGGUAAGUUCCGACCUGCACGAAUGGCGUAAUGAUGGCCAGGCUGUCUCCACCCGAGACUCAGUGAAAUUGAACUCGCUGUGAAGAUGCAGUGUACCCGCGGCAAGACGGAAAGACCCCGUGAACCUUUACUAUAGCUUGACACUGAACAUUGAGCCUUGAUGUGUAGGAUAGGUGGGAGGCUUUGAAGUGUGGACGCCAGUCUGCAUGGAGCCGACCUUGAAAUACCACCCUUUAAUGUUUGAUGUUCUAACGUUGGCCCCUGAUCGGGGUUGCGGACAGUGUCUGGUGGGUAGUUUGACUGGGGCGGUCUCCUCCUAAAGAGUAACGGAGGAGCACGAAGGUUGGCUAAUCCUGGUCGGACAUCAGGAGGUUAGUGCAAUGGCAUAAGCCAGCUUGACUGCGAGCGUGACGGCGCGAGCAGGUGCGAAAGCAGGUCAUAGUGAUCCGGUGGUUCUGAAUGGAAGGGCCAUCGCUCAACGGAUAAAAGGUACUCCGGGGAUAACAGGCUGAUACCGCCCAAGAGUUCAUAUCGACGGCGGUGUUUGGCACCUCGAUGUCGGCUCAUCACAUCCUGGGGCUGAAGUAGGUCCCAAGGGUAUGGCUGUUCGCCAUUUAAAGUGGUACGCGAGCUGGGUUUAGAACGUCGUGAGACAGUUCGGUCCCUAUCUGCCGUGGGCGCUGGAGAACUGAGGGGGGCUGCUCCUAGUACGAGAGGACCGGAGUGGACGCAUCACUGGUGUUCGGGUUGUCAUGCCAAUGGCACUGCCCGGUAGCUAAAUGCGGAAGAGAUAAGUGCUGAAAGCAUCUAAGCACGAAACUUGC